rnacentral:rRNA from 1 species
UCCCAAUUGGUGACUGUAUGAGGAUUGGAUGAGAUAUAAGCUGUCUUGAUAAUAUUUAAUUGAAUUUAAUUUUUUAUUUAAAAAGUUAAAAUAAUUUAAAAAGACGAGAAGACCCUAUAGAGUUUUAUAUUAAAUUAAAUUAAAAUUAUUUAUAUAAUUAUUAAUAUAGAUUUAAUUUUAGUAUUUUGUUGGGGUGACAAAAAAUAAAUAAAACUUUUUUUAUUAUUUACAUAAAUAAAUGAAUUUUUGAUCCAAUUUUAUUGAUUAAAAGAAAAAAUUACCUUAGGGAUAACAGCGUAAUUUUUUUUUUAUUUCUUAUAAAAAAAAAAGUUUGCGACCUCGAUGUUGGA